rnacentral:lncRNA from 1 species
ACAAACUUUCAUCACUUUAAAAUUUGCCUCAUCUUCAUCACCAAAGCAUACUUAUCAUUUUUAAUAGCUUUAAGAUCCACUUUUGACCAUGAGCAGCUCCUCAACAUUUAAAGUCUAACUUGGGUGUCGCAGCGUGAUCGCCGGUCAUUGCUAACUCCAUCUCUAACGUCAAAAUUUGCCCUGUUUUGUAAAUUUCAUUCAAAUAAAAUUUGGUGGCCUUCAUCUUUAUUUUCAUCUCAUCUUUGUUCUCUUUUCAUCACACACUUAGAUCGCCUAACUAUCCUCCCCAUCUCUAGGAGAACACUACAAACAUAGCAAGGCAGCAUCCAACGUUUGUCUCCUUUUCACUAUUUUAUUGUUUUUAUUUGGAUCAUCCAAAAUCCAGGUAAAACAUUUGGUAUUUUCCUUUUAUAUUGAGCCAACUCUUCCCAUUUCCCAUUCUUUUCUUUCAAAAUUCUAUGGUCAAUUCUAUGUUACGUUGACUACUUUGUGCGUAAAGAUGAGCAAGCCCAAUGAAGAGUUGAAUGAUCAAUGACAUAAACUUUGUUUGCAUAUGAUCAACUCUUGAUUAUCCAAAUAUUAUGGUAUGUGAUGUGUCAUUUGUCAAGUAAUUAAAAUAUAGUAAUGAUAUAUUUUGUCCUAUAUAUUAUUGUAUGUGAUGUGUCUCAUUCAUUAAGUGGUUAAUAAUCUUUUACAAAUAUUAUUUAGGUUAAAUUCUAUAAAUAAAAAUUUGGAAUAUGCAACACUACUCUUUAAAGUGACAUACAAAUAAAAAUAUAUUUGUCAUAAAUUUAUAGGAUUGUAGUAAUUAGUAUCUUUUUUAUUAUUUUUUUGUUAUUUAAGCUGCAAUAAAACAUAAUUUCUAACUAUGAAAAUAAAGUUGAUUGUAUUUACUAGAUAUGAAAUUUAAAUAAUAAUGUUGACAAAAAAUAAAAUAUCAUAAUUUCGUUAUAUUUAUUUUUUUUUAUAAAAUUUUCAGUGAACAACUACUUUUAAAAAAAAUCACUCUAACUUAUAAACCACAGCUACAAAAUACUUAUCACACACUUUACUCUUUAAAACCACAACUCCCAAUAUAUUUGCACCAAAACGUGUCUAAAAUAAAAUUAAAAAGUGUGUGUGUGUGUUUUUUUUUUUAUUGCUUAUACUUUAUACCAUUUUAUUUUAUUUUUCCAGAUUUAAGAUCUUAUUUUGAUUAUCAUCAGCAUAACUACCCUGACCUGUUUGCAUUCAGUACAAAAAGUGAAAAAAUUCAAAGAUUAAAAUCGGAGACUACUGUGUGUGUAUAUUUAUAUAUUCAAAUAACCCAAAAGUACCAUAUGGGUGAGGAUCAAUUUACUUUAAUUUUAGACGUGAAAUUAAUAACACGAAUAAUCAACCUUUAAUUCCACGUGAAUCCAUUUGCUUCAAAUAUAAAUUUGAUUUAGUGAAUAUAUAAGAUUCACGGUUGCUCAUUUAUAACUGUUGUGCUCCUAUUUAAUUUUAUAGCUACUAUAUUGUGUUGAUAACCAUCCUGUUUUACCGAACUAUUAGUGUUAUUACGUUGUUAGUGCCAAUUUUGUAAUGUUGUAGUUUUUAAAAUAAUUGUCGUUAAUUGUGUUAUAAAAAUAAUCAAUUAUGAAAAGAAUCAGUUAAACAUUUGUUAAAAUUUAUUUUUAAAAAUGUUGUGAAUUUUAAAAACAUUCUUACGUGUUUGAUAAAUCUUACUGUUAAACAACUAUAAGAAUAUAAACGACUAAAUUGGAUAUAAUAAUAAAUAAAAUAUAUUUAAACAUUUAUGAACAUGUACAUAAAAUAUUUUUUAUUAUGUACAUAUAAUAAUUGAUAACAAAAAUAAAUAUUUUAUAUUAUUAAUUUUUUUUAAUUAUUUAUCUCAAUAUAAUAAUAAUAAUCAUCAUCAUCUUUUUAAGGUUAACGAUUUUACUUCUCAAUUGUAAAGAUAAUUUAGAUUUUUAUAAUAUAUAUGAGGAUAUAAAUGAAAUUGUAUUAAGUAUAAAAAUAAUUCUUAAAAUUAGAUUUGAAAAAUCACUUAUUCCUUCCUUUUCAAAAUUUGCUUCUAGACAAUGUGAUUUUGCAAAAAAGUGUGUUUUUAAAAAGUUUACCGAGCACCAAAAUUAACUUUUAUCUUUUCAAAAUCACUUUUAACCCUCCCAAAAAUAAUCUCAAAUGUACCAUUAUUCUGCUACUUGUACAAUUUGUAAGUCCAUUAGGACAAAGCACCCUUCUAAUAUCACAAUUUAGGGCCCCCUUUUUUUUGUUAGUAAUUUCUUUAAAAACUUAUUUUUGGUAAUAUUAGUCCAUCAUUUUGAAAAGUAAGAAUGAGUAGUUUUUUUAAAUUUUAAUUUUGAGAAUUUUUAUACUUAAUUCAACUCCAUAUACAUCCUCACAUAUAUUAUAACAAUUCAAAAUUAUCCUUAUUCAAUUAGAAAACAAAAUUGUUAAAUUUAAAAAGAUUAUUAGUAUUAUUCUAAAAAAAAUUAUUACUAUUAACAAUUAUAUUGAGAUAAUAAAAAAAUUAAGUUAAAAAAUCCAUUUUUGUCAUUCACAUGCUUAUAUUAGUUCAAUGAUAAUAUUUACUAAAUAGACAUGAUUGCUUUAAAAAAUCAUAAUACUUAAAAAAAAAUUACUAAACGUUUAACUUAUUUUUUUACAACUGAUUAUUUAUAAUUACAAUAAACAAUAAUUAUUUUAAAAGCUGAAAUAUUAUUAAACUGGCCCGUCGUAAAUAUAUGCGUGAUGUAUAUAUAUGAAAGUGUAGGGCAAAUUUCGACUCUUAUUUAACAUAUAAUUUCAAAUUAUGCUUUGUAGAUUUUCAAAUAAUUGUAUAUCAGCUUAAAUUUCUUUCAACCACCCAAAAUAAUGUCUGUGGAUAGUAAUAUUACUUUAAAAAUCCUAAAGGCUACAACAUUUCAAUCACAAAUAUACUUUUAAGUUAGAAAUUUAUGUUGAACGAUUUUUCCCUCAUAACAUAUUAGGAAAUUAAAUGAUACACAAUAUUACAGGACACUUUUAUUCAUCCCAACUUCAUGCAACAUCAAACGCAACUUAAAAUCUUGAACAUUCAAAUUCGAAACACAUAACUUCAAUUAUUUUUCGUUUUUCAAUCAAGUGAUAAGAAUAAACAUGUAUAGAAUUUGUAUGAAGUGUGCUAUAUAUGUUUUAUCUGUGUUCUUUUGUACAAUAUUGAACUGUAUAAAUUUUGAUGGAAAAAAAAAAAAAAAUCUCUAAAUCCCCUUGAAAUUGGUAAUCUUGAAUCAAAACGGCCUUUUCAGGGAUUUGAAAUCC